rnacentral:ncRNA from 1 species
AUUGCUUUGCCACCGGGUAAAGCAAAUUAAGGUGCUCAGAUACAUUUCGGUAGGUCUUAGGAGAAAUGUGAUCUUGAGCACCUUUUUUAU